CGUACACUCCUGCGGGAGGCAGCAGUGGGGAAUAUUGCACAAUGGGCGCAAGCCUGAUGCAGCCAUGCCGCGUGUAUGAAGAAGGCCUUCGGGUUGUAAAGUACUUUCAGCGGGGAGGAAGGCAAUACGGUUAAUAACCGUGUUGAUUGACGUUACCCGCAGAAGAAGCACCGGCUAACUCCGUGCCAGCAGCCGCGGUAAUACGGAGGGUGCAAGCGUUAAUCGGAAUUACUGGGCGUAAAGCGCACGCAGGCGGUCUGUCAAGUCGGAUGUGAAAUCCCCGGGCUCAACCUGGGAACUGCAUUCGAAACUGGCAGGCUUGAGUCUUGUAGAGGGGGGUAGAAUUCCAGGUGUAGCGGUGAAAUGCGUAGAGAUCUGGAGGAAUACCGGUGGCGAAGGCGGCCCCCUGGACAAAGACUGACGCUCAGGUGCGAAAGCGUGGGGAGCAAACAGGAUUAGAAACCCCUGUAGUCCC
rnacentral:rRNA from 1 species